AGGUAGGGCCGGCGGUGCCCUGUCGGUGGCUCCGGGCUGCUCGCCGCGCUCUCGUCUCCCGGCUCGCCUCGGCCCCGCCGCCCCGGCGGCCGCUCGGAAGCGCGUCGGCCUCUGACCGCCGGGAUCAAAGCGGGUGGCGGCGCAGCGAGCUAUGGGGUGCGGGAGCGCCCCGCGGGCGGGCGCGGGCCGGCCGGGCCUCGGCGCCGCGUGUUGAGGGGAGCGGAGCGGCUCGGCGGGGUCGUUGGGCGGCCGCCCUCUCCCUGGCACUGCCUCCUCUUCUCUCUCUGCCGCGGACCCUUCUUUCUGCGCUAGGAGGAGAGCCGCGCAGCGAGCGGGCGCGGGUCCGCUCCGCGCCCGGCGGCCUGCCUUUGUCUCUUGCGCCCUGUCCGGCAUUGCAGAGACGUCAGCCCUGAAUUCCCAGUGGCCGAGAGAAUCCCAGGCUGCCUUUUUUGCUUUCUUGCUUUUUAAUAUUUUUUUCCUAUAUACUUAAAGACUGUCAGUAAAGUCUUUGGCCUGGAUAUUAUUUUUUUAAUUUUUUUUCUUCCAUGUUUUAAGUACCUGCAUUGAAUAAACUAAUAAAGAUGGAUAAGAAAUCAUUUGAAACCGUGCUGGAUGAAAUUAGAAAGGCUGUAUUGACGGAGUACAAAUUAAAAGCCAUUGAAUAUGUUCAUGGAUACUUUUCUAGCGAACAGGUUGUUGAGUUACUGAGAUACUUUUCCUGGGCUGAACCACAGCUCAAGGCAAUAAAGGCUUUACAACAUAAAAUAGUGGCAGUUCCGGCAUCGAAAAUGGUUAAUAUUCUCAACUGCUUCACAUUCAGUAAAGAUAAACUUAUUGCCCUUGAAAUCUUAGCUUCCAACAUUGUUGAUGCUCAGAAUUAUCGCCUUAUUGAAGAUCUGUUCAGAAUUAAUAUGUCAGAGAAGAAAAGAUGCAGAAGAAUUCUUGAACAGGCUUCAAAAACGGGUUGUAAGGCUCCUCAUGCUAUGAUAUCAUCCUGUGGCAUGAUUCCAGGCAACCCUUAUCCCAAGGGCAAACCAAGCCGCAUAAAUGGAAUUUUCCCAGGAACCCCUAUCAAAAAGGAUACAGAAGAAUGCACUAACGAAGGAAAGGGAAUAGCAGCUCGUAUACUUGGACCAUCCAAACCAGCUCCAUCAACCUACAAUCCACACAAACCAGUUCCAUACCCCAUCCCACCAUGUCGGCCACACGCAACUAUUGCACCAAGUGCUUACAACAAUGCUGGCUUAGUUCCAAUGGCUAAUGUCAUAGCUCCAGGCUUACCAGCUCCUCCCCCAUACACUGCUAAUCAGGUGGUAUCAGAAAAUGAGGACCUUUCCAGCCAGACAAAACCUUCCCAAAAUCAAGCUUUUUCUGCACAAGCGAAUCAGCUCUUUACUCCUCAUGGUUCUAAUCCUUCAACACCUGCUGCUACUCCAGUCCCUACCCCAUCACCUGUCAAGGCAAUAAGCCAUCCAUUAGCACCUGCAACUCCACUCAUAUCUGGGAUGAACAUGUCUACCCCUGUCCUUCCUGUUUUCCCAGGACAGGUCUCCUCUUCCAUCCAUACAUCUCAGCCAUCCACCCCAACCCCUACUGUCAUCAAAUCCCUUUCAUUGCCUGGUGUUCCUGUCACAUGUGUUCACAGUGCAACCUCUACCCCUAUCCCUGCAGUUUUUUCUGGGCUGGCUUCUAUACCCACUGCUACGCCAGCUCCGCAAGGUUCUUCCACACCAUGCGCCACACCUGCGCCUAGUGAAGCUUUUGCAUCUGCUGCUGCACCAUUUGCUGGCCUCCCGUUCCCUGCAACCUCUUCAAUUGCUUCCACUAAUAAUCCCACUCCAUUGUCAUCAGUUUUUGCUGGCCUCCCUUUGUCCUUGCCUCCCAACGCCCAAGGGAUUUCUAGUCCCAUUCCAUCUACAAUUGCUAAUUCUCCUGCCACUACCAUUCCUGGUUCGCUUAGCUUGCCUAACCCAAUUUUGUCUGUCUUAAAGGGAUUUCUGACAUCAAAUGACACUUCAUUAAUCAAUUCAUCUGCUUUACCUUCUGCUAUGACAAGUGAGCUUGCUUCUUUGUCUGCUCUUGCUAAUCAAAACUCUGACCCUCCCACUUCCUCUGUCAACAAAUGCUAUACUCCAUCAGCCACCCCCACCCCACAGCGUUCCUCCACACCUGGGUUGGCCAUUUUUCCAGGUCUUCCAUCCCCAUCUGUGGCCAAUUCUAGUUCCACUCCUCCAACAUUGCCUGCACAGUCACCUUUAACCACUUCGCCAUCGAUUAUGCCAGUCAACUGCGGCUCAUCAGCCUCCCUCUUGCAUGGCACAAGCCCUACUAAUCCUGAUCAGCAGCUGCCAUCAGCCCCAGCUGCCACAAGUAUCCCAGUUCUGGUCAAAACAGAACCCAUAAGUCCUACCCUCUCGGCCUUCAAAGGUCCUUCUCAUUCAGCUGGCCCUUCUCAUGGCACUAUAGGACUGUCAGCGCUGGGGCGUGCAUACACCUCCGCAGCUUCAGUGCCAGUCAGUUUACCCAGUUCCCUGAAUCCAGCACUGUCGGGUCUCUCCUCUUUGAGUGCUCCUCUAAACAAUUCCAGUUCUCUGGCUUCCGUUUCCCUCGCCCCACAUGGCUCGUCUGCUCCCAUUGCCCCUGUGUUCAAUGGACUUCCUCCUUUUACGUCUCUAACCAGUAACUUUGCUUUUACUGGUAAUCCAGCACUUACGCCACCCGUCACUCUCCCAGGGUCCUUGUUAGCUACUCCGUCUACAACCGCUUCAGCCGUGUCUGCCCCUCAUGUGAGUUCCACCGCCGCCGUACUCUCAGGACUCGCCGCCUCAGCAACAGUUUCCGCUCCACCCUUCUCGCUUAACUUGUCCAGUGCCGUCCCUUCCCUUUUUUCUGUUGCCCAGGGACCUCUGGGAUCAUCAAACCCAUCCUUCCCUGGUUUUCCUGUCUCUAACACACCCUCUGUCACUCCUGCUCUCCCUUCUUUCCCUGGCCUCCAGGCAUCUUCUGCAGUAGCAGCAGUUGCACCGUUGCCGGCAGCUGCCACAGCCCCAUCUCCGGCUCCGGUCCUGCCAGGGUUUGCCUCGGCCUUUAGCUCAAACUUCAACUCUGCACUUGUUGCGCAGGCUGGCUUGACUUCUGGACUACAGACACCGGGAAAUGCAGUUUUUCCUGGUCUUUUAUCUCUCCCUGGUAUCCCUGGCUUUCCGCAGAGUGCCGCACAAUCUUCCUUACAGGAAUUGCAGCACAGUGCGGCUGCGCAGUCAGCACUACUACAGGCACAUUCUGCUUCUGCUCUGGAGAACUAUACAGCUCAGCCUGAAGGUUUUGCUAACUAUCCGUCAACACCAGGAACACCAUUUUCAUUGCAGACAAGCCUGCCCCAGAGUGGAUGGCAAUAAAUACCAGACAUUUUUAAAGACUGCAGUGGUUGCUUGACAGAGCCUGAUCCUAUUCGCUUUGAAGGCUGUCUCUGCGUUAGUGGGAGCAUGGUCUGAAUUGGGGAGAGAAGGGGAAAACAUGAGGGUAAAAUGAUUCCUGGAGGCUGUGUCAGAUGUCAAACCUAAUUUGUGAUUGCAUUUAACUGAUUCAGGGUCUGAUCCUGUGAAUUGCUGAGCAUCCUUGACUCUCCUUUUAGCUUACGAGUUGAAUGUUUGGUGUCUUACAGGAUCAGGGACAUUCAAACAGACGCUUAUGUAAAUAGAGCAAUUGGCUGUCAAACUGAAUGGGGAGAACAAGUAUACUUAAUAGUGUGUAUAAACACCUAUCCUGUUAUAUUUUAUAUGGUAUAUGUGGUUAAUAUAGAAUGAGAUCUAGACUGAAACUAGAUACUUAAAGCUGUAGAUGAUCUUCCACCUAGAUGCACACACCUUGUGUGUGCAUAGAUCAAGGUCAGUUUAUGGUUCUUCGAAUCUUUUCUUUGUACGUGUGAGGUUCUCCUGUUAGCGUCAGCAGUGUGUUAAGGGGAGGAUAGAUCAGAGGGGUGUGGGGGUUUUCUUACGCUUUGAAAUAUUGUCAUGGGCUUGCUGCUGAAUUGAGUACUCCUUUGCCUGAAUCUGAACAGGAGAGCUAGGAAAUGAUGCUGUACUGUAUUUGGGUAGACGUGGAUUAUGUUUUACUGGAGUAUGGUUUAGCUACGUGAGAAUAUGUCUUUUCAAAGUAUAUAAAAGCAUUUUAAUUUGCCUCUAACAUAAUGUUCCAUAACAUUCUCCCUGCCCCCAAACCUCUCUGUGAAUGAAAUUAUUGUACUGCGGAUAGGCUGCCUAUCCGGCACUUUUGACUGCAGACUUUUGUGAAUGUUUACAGACAUGGGUCAAGUUCUUCUCUCCCUUAUACUCAUAAACUCACUGGUCCUCUGUACCCCUUUCAGCUAUAAACCAUGACUUGAUGGUGCUUAUGUUAUCCCGUGAAUAUAAGUGGGAGCAGAAUUUGGACCAUGGAUUUUUUUAGUAUUUUUCCUUGGAAAAUGUACAUGAUUUUAAAGGCAUAUAGCUAAAUUAACUGUAUUGGUUAGGAAGGGUUAUGACGCAGCAUAUAGAAAGGUCUUGCUUCUUAGUGAAAUUCAGUUGUGCACUCUUCUAAUAAUGUUAGUACCUGUGGCAAUGUGUAACACAUCAUUGAAUAUCAUCUAUUUAAGAUAACUCUUGGUCAUGUUCUAGAGACAAUAGAGAUGAAUGAUAUUCAAUCCUGUGAUUAAAUUAAAACGUAGAGGAUACUAUACUGUAGAAAAGCUCUGCCUAGAGUUUUACUUUUUUAAAGAUGAAUUCUGCUGGGAGAUGUUGGCUAAUGUAUUUUCUUUCAAGAUGUGAACAAACUUUUUUAGAACAUUAACGGAAAUUCCUGUAUUGGUUUUUAACACAAUUUUUUUAAAUAAAAAGUUUACAGUCAUGGCAAAAAGGCUUUGAUGACUAUUUACAUAUUUGCCUAGAAUACAGAUGAAUAAACUUGUUUUUACUUAGACACUUCCUAAUGUUUGAUCUUGCUUAUGCUGUUUCUUUAUGAUGCAGAAUUAUAUACUGAAUUAUAAAAUUGUUUUCUUAAAGAGUAGCAAUAGAAAUAUCCUAUGAAGUGUUCACAUAAAAAAUUUAAACAGUGUCCUCGGUACUGUGUCAGCAGUUGGGUAGUCUUGCAUUUUAAUAAUUAAAAUUACAUAUUACUUUAAGUGUAAAGAUAAAAACAUAUUGCACUCUUACGUAUUUUUUUUUUUAUUUUGUGAAACCUGUUGAAUUCUAAUGAUUCUCCACUCUGAACUGCUUUUAAAAUCAGUGCCUUAUAUCUUGACUCAAGAAAUUUGCAGAAAAAAAUCUCUGCCAUCAUUCAGUAUGCACUGGUGAGGCCACAACUGGAGUACUGUGUCCAGUUUUGGGCUCCCCAGUUCAAGAGGCACAGGGAACUGCUGGAGAGAGUCCAGUGAAGGGCAGCUAAGAUGACUGAGGGACUGGAGCAUCACCCUCAUGAGGAAAGGCUGAAAGAGCUGGGACUCUUUAGCCUGGAGAAGAGAAGGCUGAGGGGAGACCUUAUUAUGGCAUACAAGUAUCUAAAGGGUGGGUUUAAGGAGGAUGGUGCCUGACUCUUUUCAGUGGUUCCCAGUGACAGGAUGAGGGGUAACAGGCACAAGCUAGAACAUAGGAAGUUCCGAUCAAAUAUGAGAAAAAACUUCUUUACGGUGAGGGUGACAGAGCACUGGAACAGGCUGCCCAGGGAGGUUGUGGAGUCCCCUUCUCUGGAGAUUUUCAGGACCCGCCUGGAUGCAGUCCUGAGUGAUGUGCUCUAGGCAAUCCUGCUCUAGCAGGGGAGUUGGACUAGAUGAUCUCUAGAGGUCCCUUCCAACUCUGAAAAAUUCCGUGAUUCCGAGUAUACUUUUCUUCUAAUUUGUAGAUCAGUUAGAGAAGGAGAAAAUAAAAAUACAGUUACCUUCUCAAGAGCAAAUUGGCUUUUGUUCUGUAGAUGCGAAUGUAAAGUAGUUCAGUGUUUUGUAACCUCCUAAGUUUCUGAGUUUGAUCUGCAAUUUGAGUCCUAGUUUCCCAAUCAAUCAAUCAAUCAAUCAAAGUUUAAACUAAUUCACAUUACCUUGUAGUCCAAAAGAAGUACCAGACAUCAGCUGUUACAGAGUGUUUUCGCAAAAAGUAAGCAGUUUCUUUCUGAAAACAUCUACUGAAUGGUCAUGGGGUGUGGGUUGUUUUUUUUCUGACUGAACAUGAAACAACUCAGAGGCACGCAAGAAACUGUGAAGCCCUGUUUCUCCAGAUGAAAACAGGAAUAAAGUCUGUGUUCUGCAUUGCAGCAAACUCCUGUGACCCAGCCUUGGAAUUUCUGAAGGGGGUGAUUUGUCCUGCGGUCUUUCAUGCUUACUUGAGCACCUCUUUUAAAAAGCCAAGGAAAAAUCUGCUCCUGAGGCAAACCUUCUUACACUGAGCCUGUGCUGGGAAAGGGCUGUUGCUGUAUGACUUAAUUCUGGAGUAAUUAUGAUUUCUUCAUUGUUCAAGUUGCCUGUUACUGCUGUAUUUCAGCUAUGCUGACAGACUGCAAAGAUAAGGUGUAGUGAAAUGUCCUUUGAAAUAAAAUCUCUAUUCAGAACAACUAAGAA